UACGAAGGGGGCUAGCGUUGUUCGGAAUUACUGGGCGUAAAGCGUACGUAGGCGGUCCGUUAAGUCAGGGGUGAAAUCCCGAGGCUCAACCUCGGAACUGCCUUUGAUACUGGCGCUCUUGAGUCCGGGAGAGGUGAGUGGAACUCCUAGUGUAGAGGUGAAAUUCGUAGAUAUUAGGAAGAACACCAGUGGCGAAGGCGGCUCACUGGCCCGGAACUGACGCUGAGGUACGAAAGCGUGGGGAGCGAACAGG
rnacentral:rRNA from 1 species